rnacentral:rRNA from 1 species
CCAAGUAGUGUCGAAAUACCCUCAUGGCACCAUAUCUUAUCUGAUUUUGGAAGCUAAGCAGGGUCAUCCUUGUUUAAUACUUGGAUUGGAGACCACCAGGGAAUAUCUGGUGCUGCAGGCU